rnacentral:lncRNA from 1 species
UGGGGGAAACAGAAGGGCUGGGGGCCAAAGGGCAUGCUGGAGGAACUGGGUCCUGUGCGGCAUCCCUCAUUGAACACUUUUUCUACCUCUUGGCAGGUUGAACAGGUUUUGGAGGGAGACUUAUCUUGGGAAUUGCAGGGAAGUAGGAUGAAGGAGGUGGGUUGGAAGCCUCUUCCAAUACCAGGACUGUAGCCUACCCCGUGCAUCAUUAUCACCCUGGAGGAAGGAGGAAUAAGGCUUGAGCAUCGUCAAGCCACUGGAGUGGGCUGAGUAAAGGUCCUCGAGACUUGGAAACACCAAGCAAGUUAUUUUACCUCUCCGAGAGCCUUCGUUUCUCUAAUUCUGUAGACGUUUUUCUUUCACCUGCAAAGUAGGCUAAUAAUAGUCUUACAUGGGCAUAAGGGCCCUGCGGAUCUCACGUACUAUAUGUCACAUAAUCCCAACCACACAAUGGAAGGUGUUAUUGCCUCCUUAGGUGAGGAAAUGGAGCCCUAGAGAGAUGAAGAGACUGACUGAAGUUCCCAGAGUGGGUACGUGGCGCAGACCAGGAUGGCAAAUAGUGGGAAAGAAGAAUAGAUGGGGACCUGUUGCUGUGACCCAGUCCUGUCUGGGUAACAAAUAGGUUUCAUUUGUAAGGCUAACCACAUUGGGUUGGAAAUGGCUCUCCAUAAAACCAUGUUGAGAAAGCUUCUGAGGCUCAGUGAGAAAAAAAGUACUGUGAUGAAUUAGUGAUAUCUGUUCUGGGUGGGGGGCGGGGUAAGUGACGGCCCGAGUAUAGUAUGGUUGGUGACUCUAGCCCAGGAUCAGACCAGGGAUUUCACAUCUAAGUUGUUCCUCUAUACUAAACAGUUGGUUAAUUUCAAUGGCCACCAGCUUAAAAAGGUAACUAAGAUAUAGUCUCUGCCUUCCAAGAGCUCACAAUCUCUUGAGGACAGAGGAGUGCUCUAUGGAUGAUGCGGCAAAAUGUCCCAGGAACGCAGAGGGAGAGCAAAUAUCCCAGAGGGCAUUCCAGGCAGAGGGACCUGCUUGGGCAAAAGCAUGGGGACAUAUGCAAGUGGAGUGCAGGGCACAUCUGAAGAGCCAACGGCAGUUCUAUAUGGCUGGAAGCUAGGGUACCUGGGGAAAAGUACCAAAAGGAGAGGCUAUGAAAAUCAGCAUGCAUCAGAUGGUGAAGAGUUCUGAAUGCUAGGCCUGGAAGUUUGGGUUUUAUUACAGAAGCUGUGGUACCCACUGAAGGAUUGAAAGGCAGAGUGAUGAGAUAUAAUUGUGUCGUUGAAAGGCACUGUGGCAGCUGAGGGGUUGGAGGGGGGGAACCGGGAGAUCAUUGCAGCAUUUCAGGUGGAAGAGAACUAGGGCAGCCUCAAAGGAGAUGGAGAGAAGCUCACAGAAGUAGAAUUGAUAAGACCCCAGUGACCUGCUGGAUGAGGGGCAGGAAAGAAACCCAGGGCAAUGUUAAGGUUUCCAGUUUGGGUGCUGAAUGGAUGGUGAUUUUGUGAACAGGCAGGGAAGCACAGAAGAGACACCCUUUUGAGGAGAGAGAAGGGGUCUUUUUUUAGGGCCUCACCAAUGGCAUAUGGAGGUUCCCAGGCUAAGGGUCUAAUCGGAGCUAUAUCCUCCAGCCUAUGUCACAGCCACAGCAAUGCCAAAUUCAAGCCACAUCUGCAACCUACACCACAGCUCACAGCAACGCCAGAUCCUUAACCCACUGAGCGAGGCCAGGGAUUGAACCUGCAACCUCAUGGUGCCUAGUUGGAUUCGUUUCUGCUUCACCACGACGGGAACUCCAGAACGGGGUCUUAACAGGUGAGGGGGGCUCAUGGGAGUGGCUGAGACAGCCGAGGAAGGGAGAGUGGAAUGGUUAGAGAUGAAGGCCAAGGCGGGACCCCUAAGAAACAGCAAUAAUUCAGGCCCGGUGAGAGACCACAGCAAGAGAGAUGGACCCAAAGUAAAGGGGCAGGAGGAGAGAGCCUGGGGGACCCAGUCAGAAAGUGACCGGGAGAGUCCACAGUGCUGACCCAGAAGUGCUCUUAAGUGUAGUAGGAUGAGGUUUUUUUGUUGUUGUUUUUUUUUGUUUUGUUUGUUUUUAAGGGCUGCACCUGCGGCAUAUGGAAGCUCCCAGGAUAGGGGUUGAAUUGGAGCUACAGCUACCAGCCUACACCACAGCCACAGCAACACCAGUUUCGAGCCAUGACAGAUCUACACUGCAGCUCAGAGCAACCCUGGAUUCUUCACCCAUGGAGCGAGGCCAGGGAUUGAACCCACAUCCUCAUGGAUAAUAGUUGGAUUCAUUUCUGCUGAGCCACUAUGGGAACUCCCAGGAUUAGGCUCCCCCGCCCCCCCCACCAAAUACAGGGAAAGGAAACUCAAAGAGUUUAAGUGAUUUGCCCCAAAUCCCAAAGCCUAGAAGAGGCAGGGCCACUGAAGAGCUGAUCAAGGUCUCCAAAAUCAGCUGGUCCUCACCAUGCGGCAAUAAGAGCCAAAGGAGAGUGUGUCCAGAAUGGCCAGGCUGGUCAUCAGCCUCACAUGAUGCAAAGAGCCUGCUGGGGUCAAGGACUGAGAAAACACCCUUGGAUGUGAUGACUGGGAGGUCAGCUGUGACCUUGGAGAGAGCUUCUCGCAGCUCUAACUGCUGCCCGGCAUAGCUGUGCAGGUCAAGCAGAAUUGCUUCUAAUGAGCUUUGUAGAAUGCAGAGCUUCACAGUCCGAGGGGGGCUUUUGCUCUUUUUAUUGUUAAAUAUUAGUAGAUAGAACCACUUGAUAUUACUGACAGCCCCCCCCCCCUUUUUUUAUUGGUAAUUUCACACAGUUCAACCAUACAGUAAAAGAAGUGGGCUGGGGUGGGGGUAGGGCCUGGGAGGGUGGGAAAAAGCAAGCUGUGGGAGCAAGGGCAGUCCCAUGGGGCUGGGGAGCCCUGCCCCCUGGUGGUGGGGAGGUCCUCUUCACCUGGGGAAGCUUGAAGUUGCAGGGGUUCCCUUAUCUCCUCCACUUCCCUCCAGCCUUGUAGUCUAGCCAGCACCCUCUCCUGUAAGUGCAGCUGGGCUUGGGGGUGAAUGCCCCCGAGGGGGAUCUGUCUGGAAGAAUAUCUCUAAUCUCUAAACUAGGGCCAUGCCCUCAACCAACAUCUUUGGGGAUCUGUUGGGGUCUCCCCCUGGGGAGCAUUUUAGGAGCCCAGGCCACAUGGAACUGAUUAGUCAGGACGGGCUGACACAUGAGGACCAGGUCUUGAACAGACCCCUUGGUCAUCACCAGCCCAGCCCCUCUGAAAUCUCUCCCAGUGUCCUUGGGAACCUACUUGAUAUCUCAGGUCUUACGGAUAACAAUAGAAUAACAAUGACAACAGAAGUUAUUUGUAUGAAUGCCAUUGCUUCCAGCUAUAGCUUAGUACCUGGACUGAUUUUUUCUGGCUCUUCGGCUGAGGCGAGGAGGGAUGGGUUAACAUCUCCAAGGAGAUGUUCUUCUGAGAUGAGGACCCAGAAGGGGCCAGGCCACGAGGCUCUGGGGAUUGCUGGAGCUGGGACUGAGGAGGCAGUGGUGCAUCAUUUGUCCUCAGCUGAACUCUGCACAGUGCCAAGCUCCUCACACAGGACCAGGAUGUGCAGCCUUGCGGCCCCACACAAUGGGUAGACCCAGACACUGUGGCCGGGUGGUGACUCAGAGAGGGAGUGUGCGGGGGGUGCGGUGGAGGGUGGGGAGGCAGGUGCAUCAAAGAGGUGGUCCCCCAUAUGCUGUGUGUGCCAGGAAGUCAUCCUCCCUCUCCACCCUGGGGUGGGGGGUGGUCCCCGAGGUACCUUGCUCUGGGCACUUCUCUGCAGGAACACUGUUGCCUUAUGCAGGGGACAGCAGGUGCUGCCUGGGGAUUGGGGCGGAGGAAGGGGCAGUGGUUCUGAUCAGCCCACACUGACAGGCAGGGGUGGUGUCUGGACAGAGGAGAACAUCUGACCUGGCCCCAUCUUUAUAUUCCUCCCUCUCUUGACCGGAAAACACACAUGGGGUCAGAAGGGCCAGACGGAGGCCACAGGCUCCCAGGAAAUGCUUUGAAGGCUUUUAUCCUUUCUUUUGAUCAGACGAUGAGAACUUUCCAAACGUUGACACAAGGGAAGAAAAGCCUAUUCUUCCUUGGGCCAGGGCCAUGUGUCAGGCUGAGGCUAGAGGAUGGGAGGGAAAGGGAAGGAGGCUGGAGGGUGGGGGACUGAGGCAACAGUGACUCAGCUGGCAAGGCCGGCCGUGGAUACACACACGGCUCUUUUUUUCCCCCACCUCAAGAUUUGUGUGCAUCUGGCUCCAUUUCUAUUUAUUUUCUUUGGGGCAGGACAGGAGGGAGAUUAAUGAACAAAGACAUGAAGUUUAAAAAGAACCCCAAACCCAACUCCAUUCUUCUCCCAACCUUAGCGUUACAUAAUCCCGCAGUGCUUUUCUUCCAGGCCUUCCUUGACGCCCGUCUCCCCCCACCCUCUCAUUAAGAACACUUGGAAGCCCAGAAAUGCUUCUUUUCAGGCCCCAGUGCAGCUGAUCUUUUAGAGGCCUCCAAGGUCGCUAUUCAAGUUGGAGUUGGUAUCCAAAACAGAGAUAAUAUGCUGGUGAGAGGAGGCUGAGGAGCUGCUUUUGCUCUCCAUCGAGGCCAGUGGGAGGGAUGGGACCCAUCUGAAUUGGGAGGGACUCAGGCUGGAUGUUGAGUUUUAUUUUUAUUUUUUGCCUUUUUAGGGCCACACCUGUAGCAUAUGGAGGUUCCCAGGUGAGGGGUAGAAUUGGAGCUCCAGCUGCCAGCCUGCACCACAGCCACAGCAAUGCAGGAUCCGAGCUGUGUCUGUGACCUACACCACAGCUCACAGCAACACGGGAUUCUUAACCCACUGAGCAAGGCCAGGGAUGGAACCCACAGUCCUCAUGGAUACUAGUUGGGUUCAUUAGCCACUGAGCCACGAUGGGAACUCCUGGACGUGCAGUUUUAAAGUAGGACAUGACCUUGAUACUCCUUGAACUCAGUGCGUCCCAAACUGGCACAGCAACACAUCCUGAAAAGCAGAGGGAAUUUUACUGCAGGGGAUACAGGGAUGAGCCAUAAGCUCCUGCACACUGGGUAUCCCUGAAAUCUGUUUUGUCUUUUAACGUAAGUAACUUUUUCAUUCUACUCCAUCACACAUCAUUUGCUUAAUAUUAAAAUAAAUUUUUUACCUCAGAGUCUUUGAGUAAAAUUGCUAUCUCAAGAAAAUACAU